AGCUCCAAUAGCGUAUACAAACAUUGUUGCAGUUAAAAGGCUCGUAGUCGCAUUUAUGGCUUUGUAGGCCCCACAUAUUGGCUAGUUCAGUGUGUGUGGUGCCACAUGUCAUACUUCUGGAGAUCACUUCUGCCUUUGAUUAGCGUGGUUGUGUGAUCUAGAUCGUUUACCGUGAGUAAAUCAAAGUGUUCAAAGCAGGCUCAAAGCUUGUAUGCAUUAGCAUGGAAUAAUAAGAUAGGACUUCGGUUCUUUUUUGUUGGCUAAGGAAUCAAAGUAAUGAUUUAAAGGGAUAGUUGGGGGUGCUAGUAUUUAGCGGUCAGCGGUGAAAUGCGGAGACCCGUUAAAGACUAACUUAUGCGAAAGCAUUCACCAAGGAUAUCUUCUUUGAUCAAGAACGAAA
rnacentral:rRNA from 1 species